GAUGAACGCUGGCGGCGUGCCUAAUACAUGCAAGUCGAGCGAACGGACGAGAAGCUUGCUUCUCUGAUGUUAGCGGCGGACGGGUGAGUAACACGUGUAUAACCUACCUAUAAGACUGGGAUAACUUCGGGAAACCGGAGCUAAUACCGUAUAAUAUUUUGCUCCGCAUUGUUCAAAAGUGAAAUACGGUGUUGCUGUCACUUAUAGAUGGUUCCGCGCUGCAUUAGCUAGUUGGUAAGGUAACGGCUUAUCAAGGCAACGAUGCAUGGCCGACCUGCGAGGGGGAUAGGCCACCUGGGAACGGGAACGCGGUCAAGGCUACUACGGGACGCAGCAGAAGGGUAUCGUACGCAGUAGGCGAGAGCAUGACGGAGCGAGGCCGCGUGAGUGAUGGAGGUCUUGGGAUCGUAAAAAUCUGUUAUUAGGGAAGAACAUAUGUGUAAGGAGAUGUGCACAGCGUGACGGUACCUAGUCAGAAAGCCACGGCUAACUACGUG
rnacentral:rRNA from 1 species